rnacentral:rRNA from 1 species
UACAGAGGUCCCGAGCGUUGUUCGGAUUCAUUGGGCGUAAAGGGUGCGUAGGUGGCAUGGUAAGUCGGGUGUGAAAUCUCAGGGCUCAACCCUGAAACUGCACUCGAUACUGCCGUGCUCGAGCACUGGAGAGGAGACUGGAAUUUACGGUGUAGCAGUGAAAUGCGUAGAUAUCGUAAGGAAGACCGGUGGCGAAAGCUAGUCUCUGGACAGUCGCUGACACUGAGGCACGAAGGCCAGGGGAGCAAACGGG